UGGGGAAUCUUGGACAAUGGGGGCAACCCUGAUCCAGCCAUGCCGCGUGAGUGAUGAAGGCCUUAGGGUCGUAAAGCUCUUUCGCCUGUGAAGAUAAUGACGGUAGCAGGUAAAGAAACCCCGGCUAACUCCGUGCCAGCAGCCGCGGUAAUACGGAGGGGGUUAGCGUUGUUCGGAAUUACUGGGCGUAAAGCGCACGUAGGCGGACCAGAAAGUUGGGGGUGAAAUCCCGGGGGCUCAACCCCGGAACUGCCUCCAAAACUAUUGGUCUAGAGUUCGAGAGAGGUGAGUGGAAUUCCAAGUGUAGAGGUGAAAUUCGUAGAUAUUUGGAGGAACACCAGUGGCGAAGGCGGCUCACUGGCUCGAUACUGACGCUGAGGUGCGAAAGUGUGGGGAGCAAACAGGAUUAGAUACCCUGGUAGUCCACACCGUAAAACGAUGAAUGCCAGUCGUCGGAUAGCAUGCUAUUCGGUGACACACCUAACGGAUUAAGCAUUCCGCCUGGGGAGUACGGUCGCAAGAUU
rnacentral:rRNA from 1 species